rnacentral:rRNA from 1 species
GAAGAACCUUAACAAAGGCUUGACAUACACCGGAAAAUCCCUGGAGACAGGGUCCCCCUUGUGGUCGGUGUACAGGUGGUGCAUGGCUGUCGUCAGCUCGUGUCGCGAGAUGUUGGGUUAAGUCCCGCAACGAGCGCAACCCUUGUCCCGUGUUGCCAGCAGGCCCUUGUGGUGCUGGGGACUCACGGGAGACCGCCGGGGUCAACUCGGAGGAAGGUGGGGACGACGUCAAGUCAUCAUGCCCCUUAUGUCUUGCGCUGCACACGUGCUACAAUGGCCGGUACAAUGAGCUGCGAUCCCGCGAGGUGGAGCGAAUCUCAAAAAGCCGGUCUCAGUUCGGAUUGGGGUCUGCAACUCGACCCCAUGAAGUCGGAGUCGCUAGUAAUCGCAGAUCAGCAUUGAUGCGGUGAAUACGUUCCCGGGCCUCUACACACCGCCGGUCAAGUCACGAAAGUCGGUAACACCCGAAGCCGGGGCCCAACCCCUUGUGGGAGGGAGCUGUCGAAGGUGGGACUGGCGAUGGGACGAAGUC